CACGAUUCCCCCUUGAAGCAGCGUGCUCGAAGCGCGAAUGCGCGAGCACCUGCUUUUCCGCUGUUGACCGUAGGGACAUCGGGACACGUGGGUUUUGUUUAUGUCUGUCAUGUCUCCUCCCUGUUCCGUCAUUGGCUGGGAAGUCACGUGUGUCCGGAUUACCCUCAGCUGUUAGCAAUUGCGAGGGUAAUCAUGUCCACGUAUAUACCGCGCGCUUCCCAGCACACAACGCGGGAGAUUAAUGGCAGACAAAGUUUGUGUGGAAAUUGUGAAUGAGCAUCAUUGGAUGUUGAUGGUGACAGCAAGAGUGUCACGAGAUGGAGGCUGUGACUGAAGCAAGUGCAGGUCUGCUGUGACGGCUGUCAGAGGUGGUACCACCAUGAAUGUUUACAGAGACCUCCAGGGGAUUAGGAGUACUUGUCCCCUAUAUGCAUACACACAAACAUGUUCGUCUGUUCAAGGCUCAUCUAAACAUCUUCCAAGAUCCUAAAACAAAGCCUGUUUAAACUGCCUCAAACUGCUUCUUAUCGAGGACAAGUCUGCAAGUGUUGUCUAAAUUCCAUGACAAUUUGGCAUCUCCUGGCUGGGCUGCGCGAGUCUUUCAGCUUUUCUGGACAACAAGCAAACCGGAGGACGCUCGUGGAAAAGUUUUCACCCUGAAAUCCAUGUUGAUACAGGUGGUUUGCCCUUUGUUGUGCAGAGCGAAAGACCGACGCAGACUUACCACUGACCACUGAAUCAUAAAAAAAAACAGCCUUAAGGUGAAUUUUAUAAAGUCAUUGUGUAUUGCUGUCUCUAUGGAAGGGAGUCAGUGAUAUAAGAAAUGCGUGUAUUACAUUGAGCGAUUUCUUAUAAGAAGUUCCGUGAACUUCGCCUCUGCGACGGCAGAGAUCUUGGUGUUUCUUAGAUCACAGCUUCAAAACUAAGAUAUAUACCGACGGGUAUAUAUAUAGAGAGAGAUAUAAUAACGGUAAAAUUAUUUGCUAAUGGAAAGAGUCCGUUUCAAGGAAUAAAUAAGUAAAGAUAGUACUUAUUAAGAAGCACAAGAGGCACAAUAUUUUUACGGCGGGUUAUUAUGAAGUGGCAUGCCCCAUUGACUCAUUCCAUCAUAUCAGCGGUACAUGAUAUAUUUGGCAAAUUUAACGCACAAGUAAA